rnacentral:rRNA from 1 species
UCGCCUCCUAAAAGGUAACGGAGGCGCUCAAAGGUUCCCUCAGAAUGGUUGGAAAUCAUUCAUAGAGUGUAAAGGCAUAAGGGAGCUUGACUGCGAGACCUACAAGUCGAGCAGGGUCGAAAGACGGACUUAGUGAUCCGGUGGUUCCGCAUGGAAGGGCCAUCGCUCAACGGAUAAAAGCUACCCCGGGGAUAACAGGCUUAUCUCCCCCAAGAGUUCACAUCGACGGGGAGGUUUGGCACCUCGAUGUCGGCUCAUCGCAUCCUGGGGCUGUAGUCGGUCCCAAGGGUUGGGCUGUUCGCCCAUUAAAGCGGUACGCGAGCUGGGUUCAGAACGUCGUGAGACAGUUCGGUCCCUAUCCGUCGUGGGCGUAGGAAAUUUGAGAGGAGCUGUCCUUAGUACGAGAGGACCGGGAUGGACAUACCUCUGGUGUACCAGUUGUCGUGCCAACGGCAUAGCUGGGUAGCUAUGUGUGGACGGGAUAAGUGCUGAAAGCAUCUAAGCAUGAAGCCCCCCUCAAGAUGAGAUUUCCCAACUUCGGUUAUAAGAUCCCUCAAAGAUGAUGAGGUUAAUAGGUUCGAGGUGGAAGCAUGGUGACAUGUGGAGCUGACGAAUACUAA